rnacentral:misc_RNA from 1 species
GAAUAUAAUUUCUUGACCAUUAUAGAUAAAAUUUUUAAAAUAUGUUUAUUUGGCUUAGAUAAAAUUGUCAUGUAAGCACUUACUGUAAACCAAGCAUGACUGAAAGAAAUGGAAGUAGCUUAUUUUAACUUUCAUGGCUUCAGGCCCAGCAGAAUUUUCCAACUAAUUCAAGGAGGUUUCUUAAACAGAUGACAACAUCUCCUGUCAUUAGUACACAACAAAAAGUUUUGUAACAAGUGCCUUAGCCUAGCUUUGUUAAUGUUAUGAGGUCAUUCUGGCUAUGGAGGACAGCACUAGUACUGUGAAUUUGAGUGAAGUGCAAAAAUGUGUGGACAGACUACAUAUACAAUUGCAAAAAGGCACUAUUGGAAGUGUGAUUUAUUUAGAUUCUCUAAGAAGUAAUACAGCUAAAUUGCUACUUAUCAUUACUGGACAAGAAAAGGCAUGCAAAUAUUUAGUAUCAGAAGAAAUCAGAGGUUUUGAUGUACUAAUAUCAUUAUUGGAGAAUGUUGAAGAUGUGAAAGUUGUUAAUAAUGUUUGUCUGAUUUUAAAAGAAUUGCUAACAUCCAAAAAUGCUUUUCAAGAAAGAUAUCAUACAAUUCUAUCACUUAAUGGGAUUCAUGUUCUUUUGCGUGUACUUGUAAAUAGUAGUUCACAUUCUUCUGAUGAUGCUAUGGCCUCACUUUAUAAUAUUUUAUCAAAAUUAGGAAAUCAAGAUAGAAAAUUUGCAGUAAAAGCUCGUCUAAUGGGAACAUUACCUGUUGUCAUAAGUCAUGCUAAAUUUUAUAUUCAUAAACCAAAAGUUUUGCAACCAAUUCUUCGGUUUUGUCAAUGUGUUCUUAAUAAUAAUAUGAAUGCAACAGUUUUGGGAAAAGAAGGUUUAGUUUCAAUUUUAUUAUCAUUAAUUGAUUAUAAACAGAAGAAUUCUUUGAUUUUAUCAAGUGCAUUAGAUAUUAUGGCUGCAGCAACUCGCUCUAAGUUAAUUGUUCUUCAGAUAAUUCAGCUAAAUGGUUUAGGACAUUUAGUACAAAUGCUUGAACCAUCUAUUUGGUCUCGAUUAAAAUUAAAAGGUCCUAAGUUAGUGAAAGUUUUCCGGUGUGUUCUUCAGGUUCUUGUUCGUCUUUCUUAUACUAAGAAUGGAAGAGAAGCAUUAAUUGAAGUACAGGUUGCACCUUGUCUACUACAGUGGUGUCAAACAUUGCCAGUUGUAGGAGAAAACUGGGAUAAACUUGCAACACUAGCAAGCUUAAUUAUCCAAAGAUGCCUUCCACCUUUAGUUUUACCUGUUGCUUCAUUUUUAAGUCCUGUAUACUUUUCAAUUCCAGAAGAUAAUGAAUAUGUUGAAUGUGAGAGUUCAAUUUGUCCAGAUAAAGAAGUAUACAGUGGGAUGACGUUUGAUAUAUCUCCUUGUAAUUCAGAUCCAGAUUCAGAUUCAGAUGAUAGUGAAGAUUCCUUUCCAAGUGAAAAUAGUUCUAAAACAUUUGAAACAGAAGACAUGGAAUUUUAUAAAAAGUUUUUUCCAGAAUUAGAAUCUACAACAACUUUAGUUGAAAAAAAUGCAGUUUCACCGUGUGAAGAACACUUAAAAAAAUUUAUUCUUGAUUUACCUUCUUCUGUUUGUUAUGCACAGAAAAAUGGUACUCAUAAUGAAAUUUUUCCAACUAAAACAUUAUUUGCAAGUAAGUCUGAAAUGGAUAUAUCUAGUAUUGAAUUAUGCAGACAGUUAAAUCCAUCAACUUCAUUUCCACAAAUGGAUUUUUUGGAAAAAUGCAAUGAUAAAUCUUUAUCAAAUGAGAAAUAUCCUACAUUAAACUCAGAGUAUGCAAUACAGAUUCAGAGUACUUCUAAUGCACGUCCUAUGCCUGACAAGAAAAUCAAGCCUGAUUCCAGUAUGAGUAUUUCUGAAGUAUAUCAAAAGAUGGCUGAACAGACAAAUUCUGUAUAUCCUUUUGUAAAGUUGGCUUAUCCAGAUCUUGUUGGUGGUAUAGGUUGUGAUGAUAUUGAACCAUUGCAUCAAAAACAUCCAGGAUUAUACAGGUUAAAAGUUCUGAAUCACGCUGGAAACAGAUUAUUGGAACAUAUGGUAGUUCAACGAACUGUAUAUGAGGUUGAUGAUAUCAUAAAAAUAUCUGAAGACAAUAAAUAUGGAUUAUUUAUUUCAAAUGAUGAUGAAGAAAAAAUUGGAUGCUCUAUUACUACAACACAUUUACUAUUUGAAUCAUUAUUUGAGAGUGGAAACCUUAGAAAAGUGAUUCAGGUGAGAGAAAGAGAAUAUAAUUUGAUACUAAACCCUGAUUUGAACACAACUUAUCAUCAUCAAUGGUUUUAUUUUCAAGUUUCUGGUAUGGAAGCUCAAGUGCCAUAUACAUUUAAUAUUAUUAAUUGUGAAAAAACUAAUAGUCUUUUUAAUAAUGGAAUGAAUCCAUUAAUGUUUUCUGUUAAAGAAUUUUUAAUUAAUAGAAAAGGAUGGACAAGAACGGGUUGGGAUAUUUGUUAUUAUAGAAAUCAUUAUACCCGUGAUAAUUCUGUGGUUGAUAUUAUUAAAAGUAAGCCAUAUUAUACACUGACUUUCACUGUUAUUUUUCCGUACUCCAAGGAUAUCUGCUAUCUUGCUUAUCAUUAUCCUUAUACUUACUCACUUUUACAGACCCAUAUUUAUUUUUGGGAAAAAUCUGCAGAUCUAGAUUCUAUAUAUUUUAAAAAGGAUACUUUAUGUGAAUCAGUGGCAGGAAAUCCAGUUCCUAUAUUAACUAUUACUGCUUUACCUCAUAAUAAUUCAAGACAAUAUAUUUUUUUGACAAGUCGAGUACAUCCAGGAGAGAGCAAUUCAUCUUGGGUCAUGAAAGGAACUAUAGAUUUUAUAUUGAGUAAUAAUGAAGUUGCAAAAAAAUUAAGAGAAACAUUUAUAUUUAAAAUUGUGCCAAUGCUUAAUCCAGAUGGUGUGAUUAAUGGAUGUUACAGAUGUUCAUUAAGUGGUCAAGACUUGAAUCGGCAAUGGCUCUCUCCAAUUUCUACAAUCCAUCCUACUAUAUAUCAUACAAAAGCUCUAUUACAAUAUCUCCGAAACAUGAAUAUAAAACCUAUGUUAUAUUGUGAUUAUCAUGGGCAUUCCAGAAAACAGAAUGUCUUCCUUUAUGGUUGUAGCCCUUCUGAAAGUUGGUGGUCAAAUGAUAGAAAGAAAGCUGAUGAUCACAUAUACCAAGUCCUUCCAUUAAUUUUACAUCAUACUGCACCUGCCUUCAACAUCGAAAACUGUUCUUUUGCCGUAGAAAAAAGUAGAGAAUCAACUGGUCGUAUAACUGUUUGGAGACAGUUUGGUGUAGCUUUGAGUUACACCAUGGAAUGCACUUAUGGAGGAUGUAAUCAAGGAAUAUAUGAUGGUUAUCAUUUAGGAGUAGCUCAGAUAGAGGAAAUGGGAUCAAAGUUUUGUCAAGCACUAGGAAAACUUAUUCCAGAUGCAGAUAGUCCAAAGUCUUGUAGUGUGAUGAAUUCAUUUGAUUCAUCUUUGAUAGAUACAAUUAAGUAUGAGUAAUAAUUUAAUAAAGAAUAAUAAUUAUGAAAAAUUUCAAAAUGAAACAGAAAGGACAAAAGAGCCACACAAUUAAUUCUCUUCAAUAAAAAGCAGGAAAAUGAGUCUUCAAAUUUAAGUCCAUCAGAAUAUGAAGACGAUGACGACGACGAUUACGAUGAAGAAGGAGAAUUAUAAGCCUUCUUGAUAAGGAACUUGA